GCUGAAGCUAUUGGCUCUGUUUUCAAAGACUAUUUGUGACUAAUUUUUCGUUUUCUCCUUUGAAAUUUUAUGGCUUCAGACCUUAGAUGUUAUCAAUUGAAAUUUUUCGUUUUCAAUUAAAAAAGCGUGUUCCUAUUGUUUCCUCACUCACUCUCAUCUCAUUCUCGUUCUCUUCUCAAUCACUUUCUCGUCUCUCCCUCGAACUCCACACCACCACGACACUGAACCAGGACUCUACGAGCACAGCCACCACGCCUCCAACCGUCCAUCGCGAGAUGCGACCACCACACCAGGACGAGUCUCGACGCAACCACCACCACGAGUCUCUCUCUUGAACGCGACCACAACCUGUCCACGUUAGUAGAGGCACGCUGCGACGACCGGCGGUCUCAACCACCAAGAACAUGGUCGUGCCCUUCGAUCCUUCGACUUUGUUUCUCGGAUUUCACUCCAUGAAGAAUAAUAUGUAGUAGUGAAUCUCUUUCUGAUAGACUUUGUCUCUCCAUUGUGCAAAAGAAGCAAUGACAUCCUUAGAUAUUCGUUCACUGCUUGUAUUCUCUGCCAUUUUUCGAGUUAUUUUGAUUGUGUAUGGAGAGUGGCAAGAUACUCAUAUGGAGGUUAGAUACACUGAUGUUGACUACCUUGUCUUUUCUGAUGCUGCUGCUUUAAUGGCUACGGGUGAUUCCCCCUAUAAGAGAACCACUUAUCGUUAUUCCCCUUUGCUUGCCUUUCUUCUCAUUCCAAAUUCAUUUAUCCAUCGCUCAUGGGGAAAGUUCCUUUUCUCGGCUUCAGAUAUACUUGUGGGAUAUUUCAUAUAUUAUAUUCUAAAGCUACGGAAGGCUCCAGAAAAUAUGUGCAACAUUUCUGUCAUGGCAUGGCUCUUUAAUCCAUUUACUUUCACCAUUGGGACACGAGGAAACUGUGAGCCUAUUGUUUGUGCUGUGAUAUUGUGGAUCAUGAUCUGUCUUUUGAAAGGUAAUGUGUUACAGUCAGCAUUUUGGUAUGGACUUGUUGUCCAUUUCAGGAUUUAUCCUAUAAUUUACUCUAUUCCUAUAAUCCUGGUUCUUGAUCCGAACUUCUUCCCAUCUGAUCAAAAACCUGUCCUAAGGAACUGGAGUUCUGUUCAAGGAGAGAGACCCAAAGAUGAAAGUGGCUGGCAUACUUUACACAAUCUAUUUAAAAACAUAUUCACGUGGAACAGGUUGAUAUUUGGACUUGUCUCAGGAUUGGUUUUCCUCUUUUGUACUGGUCUUUUCUACUGUUUAUACGAGUGGGAAUUCCUACACGAGGCUCUGUUGUACCAUCUUACUAGAACUGAUCCAAGGCAUAACUUCUCCAUCUAUUUCUAUCACAUAUAUCUUCAUUAUGGGCAUGAUACCUCAGUGGUGGAAAAGCUUAUCUCCUUUUUGCCCCAAUUUUUGGUUCAGCUGGUUCUUAUCUUCAGCUUUGCACAAGAUUUGCCAUUUUGUAUAUUUGUGCAGACUGUGGCCUUUGUGGCUUUCAAUAAGGUGAUUACAGCCCAGUAUUUUGUUUGGUUCUUUUGCUUGUUGCCCCUAAUACUUCCUUGGAGUAAAAUGAAACUUAGAUGGGAUGGGUUAUCUUGCAUUCUUUUGUGGAUUGGGGCUCAGACCCAUUGGUUGAUGUGGGGCUACCUGCUUGAGUUCAAGGGUAAAAAUGUCUUCUUGCAGCUUUGGUCAGCAAGCUUACUGUUUCUAGCAGCCAACAUAUACAUCCUCGUCAUGAUUAUUUGUAACCAUAGAUAUGCUUCAGUUUUCAAAGCUUUAGAGUAUGCUAACUCCAAGAUUGCAGCUAAGAUUGAGUGAGUGGCUUUGACACAAUGAUUUCAAUUCAAAUUUUAUUAUUGUGCUUAUUGCAUGUUGUCCUCUUCUGUUUUUGGAAGUUAACAAUUCGAGUUAAUGACUGCAGUUGAAGUUGAGAACCAACAAUCAUGUCAAAAUUCGUGGAUUAUUAUAUUUUGAACGUGAAAACAAAUUGGUGGAUCGAUGUAUUCUUGUUAUGUUAACCCUGUAGUUUUUUUUUUCAAUGCAUUAUCUUAAUCAAUGAAUAUAUUUUUAUUGCUGUCAGCUUUUUGUUAUUGAUUUGAACUUGCAGAAUUGACCUUAAGAUCCUUCGAGAAACGCUCCUUUUUCCCCUUAGCUGUAUUUGAAAACUUGUCAGUUACAAAUUGAUGUUUAAUCAAGGGUCAAAAUUCUUGUCAAGUAACCCCUGAAUCUGAACUAGUUUUAAGGACCAAACUUGUCCACUGGUUUUAUCCCCAAAUCUAGAUGGUAGGGCCAGUUCGUCUGACUGUAAGGAUUCAAGGAGAAAGAGUAAUUUAUUUUAUGAAGGAAAGAAAAAUUGUAGCUUACCCCAAUACCCAUCAUUACCUGAAAUAAAAAAUAGAUCUUAUCAAUUUAGACUUAGAGUUUGAGCAAACUUGUUCCUUCAUAUUUCUAUCCGCUGUUCCCACCAUAAAAGGUGAUGGGAGCUCUUUAUAGUCUAAUCAUGUAAUAUUCAUUAUUAAUGCAUCACUAUUAUAUAAAUGCUCUAGUCAUCAUGAAAAUCAAUUUCCACUCCACUAUUACAUAAAACAUCAAAACAUCCUAAUGGUUAAAUUGACAGGAUUGUUGGAAAUAGAGCAGUUGUUGAAUAUAUUAUUAGUUCUAGCAUAAAACAGAUACAUAACUUUAAGAGUAAAGAAGCCAAUAGGAAGCAUGCAUGAAAAAAACUUGCAUAUCAAACCAACAGCUAACGUCCUUCAGGCGUCAAUUGCAUACUCCUCUGACAUUUUCUUGAUUACUGGACAAUGUAAUACAUGGCGACACUUUACCCAAACAAACAUGCUAGACGAAAAUUGUCAUGAAAUGAAGAUAAAAAGAUGUUGGUAUCUGAGGUAUACCAUGUGAGAUGUGGUGUACCUAAACAACAUCAAGUCAUUGCUCUUUGAAUUUAUUAUUGCUUUAAAGGGUAUCUGAGAUUCGUCAACUGCAACCUGCAAAAAAGGCGAGCAAUGUUCUCAUUUGGGAAUUUGCGUGCUGGUCCUUAGUGUUGUCAGGCUUAGGCAACGCUUAGUUGAAACGAGACCACACAUUGAGAUGAAGCCACAUAGAAAACAUCAGUAGCCAAACUUCACAGCUCAUUCUGCAAACAUUCCACCAGCCUUCUGAUGCUAAGAAGAUCGUGUCUGGCAGAGUGUGGUGAGGUAAGAAACAUGGGACUCGUUGGGAUUCUGUUUCUGCGAGCUUGAGGUUUUCUAAUGUUGAAACCCUAGAGUCCUAAGGCAUGGUAAGACUAAGGUUGUCCUUUGGCCAUUGGAGCGAAGUCAGAUCAGACAAAUGGCAACCACCUCCAAUGCCAAAAAGAUGAUGAUGGGGGACAGAGAAGAGGAGAUACCACACGUAGCGGUCAACCUCGCUAUAGCGGGAUAAAUUAUAGAGGGGUAGUCACUAUUUUGAAUUUUUUACAUAGUUUAUAUCAUGUAUACUAAACACAUUUAUGUUAACGACGAUCUUAACAAAAAAUACAAAAAUAUACUAUCGAGUCAAAUUCAAGUUUCCUAUAUAGGAAUAAUUAAUCA